rnacentral:misc_RNA from 1 species
GAUGAAGAACGCAGUGAAAUGCGAUAAGUAAUGUGAAUUGCAGAAUUCAGUGAAUCAUCGAAUCUUUGAACGCAUCUUGCGCUCCUUGGUAUUCUGAGGAGCAUGCCUGUUUGAGUGUCAUUAAAUUCUCAACUACACUGACUUUGAAUUGGUGUGGCUUGGAUUUGGGGGGAAAAUUGUUGUGGGCUUUUUGUAUAGUCUGCUCCCCUGAAAUUGAUUAGCGGUACCUUUGUGGAACUGUCUACAGGUGUGAUAAUUAUCUACAUCUUAGACAUCUGCUGGAAUGCUGCUUUCUAAACCUUACUUGUAUUGACAAUCUUGACCUCAAAUCAGGUAGGACUACCCGCUGAACUUAAGCAUAUCAACAAGCGGAGGA